rnacentral:lncRNA from 1 species
CUAGUUGUACAAGCUCUAUUUCUUUUGUAUGUAAGAGAUGUUCUGAAAGGUAUUCAGUAUUGAAGGCUGCCAAAAACUGUUUCCAAGUGACUAGAAUGGGUAAAAUAGCAUGCUUGUGUUGCCACCAAUGCCCUGCUUUACCCAUGAGCAUAUAUGUGGCAAGAACAAUCUUUUGUUCGGGGAUCACCCCAAGUCUCGCAAAGUCUUCUCUAUCUCUGCUAACUAGUACUCAGUUAUCUCAAAAGUAGAUGAGUUAAGUCUUUUCUACCUCUC